GCCCCGGUGGCGAAAUUGGCAGACGCGCCGCACUCAAAAUGCGGUCUCUCACGGGGUGCCGGUUCGAGUCCGGCCCGGGGCAC
rnacentral:tRNA from 1 species